GCGUGGCCUCGCGUGCGGUGGGCGGUGCCAAGGGCCGUGCUGCGCCUGCGCCUGCCCCGGGUCGAUCUCCGCCCCCCCCCGUUGCGGGGCCCCCCCCCCGAGCCUGCGCCCCGAGAGCCUGAGGCUGGAGCUGGGGGGGCCCCGAGGGGUGGGGGGGGCUCGGGGGGGGGCUGUGGUCUGCUCCAGGCUCAUGGUGGUGUACGAGGCCCAGGACAUGGGCUCCAUCCCCUGCCUGUGUGUGGAGCCUGGACCCGGACCUGGGGGCACCUGCGUCCUGCCCACGCUGGAGGUGACGGUGCCCGACCCCCCCUCAGGGGCCCCCCCCGGACCCCCCCCGAGCCCCUUCUCAGCCCAGAGAAGCAUC